AGGACGAACGCUGGCGGCGUGCUUAACACAUGCAAGUCGAGCGGAAAGGCCCUUCGGGGUACUCGAGCGGCGAACGGGUGAGUAACACGUGAGCAACCUGCCCCUGGCUCUGGGAUAGCCUCCGGAAACGGGGAUUAAUACCGGACAUUCACUUCCUUCCGCAUGGUUGGUGGUGGAAAGUUUUUCGGCCGGGGAGGGGCUCGCGGUCUAUCAGCUUGUUGGCGGGGUAACGGCCCACCAAGGCGACGACGGAUAGCCGGCCUGAGAGGGCGAUCGGCCACACUGGGACUGAGACACGGCCCAGACUCCUACGGGAGGCAGCAGUGGGGAAUAUUGCACAAUGGGCGCAAGCCUGAUGCAGCGACGCCGCGUGGGGGAUGAAGGCCUUCGGGUUGUAAACCCCUUUCACCAGGAGCGAAUUCAGACGGUACCUGGGGAAGAAGCGCCGGCUAACUACGUGCCAGCAGCCGC
rnacentral:rRNA from 1 species